GCCAUCAUAGCUCAGUGUAGCAGCAUACUGGUCUUGUAAAACCAGGGGUCGUGAGUUCGAUCCUCACUGGUGGCU
rnacentral:tRNA from 1 species